UACGAAGGGGGCUAGCGUUGCUCGGAAUCACUGGGCGUAAAGCGCACGUAGGCGGAUCUUUAAGUCAGGGGUGAAAUCCUGGAGCUCAACUCCAGAACUGCCUUUGAUACUGGGGAUCUCGAGUCCGGGAGAGGUGAGUGGAACUCCGAGUGUAGAGGUGAAAUGCGCAGAUAUCAGGAGGAACACCAAUGGCGAAGGCAGCUCGCUGGGACGGUACUGACGCUGAGACGCGAAAGCGUGGGGAGCAAACAGG
rnacentral:rRNA from 1 species